rnacentral:rRNA from 1 species
UAGCGUAUAUUAAAGUUGUUGCAGUUAAAACGCUCGUAGUCGGAUUUCGGGGCGGGUCUGCCGGUUUGCCGAUGGGUAUAUACUGGUGGGUGCGCCCUUCCUUCCGGAGACCGCGCCUCCUCUUAACUGAGCGGGCGGGGGAGACGGAUCGUUUACUUUGAAAAAAUCAGAGUGUUUCAAGCAGGCAUGUCGCUUUUGCAUGGAUUAGCAUGGGAUAAUGAAAUAGGACUUUGGUGCUAUUUUGUUGGUUUCGAACACCGAAGUAAUGAUUAACAGGGACAGUCAGGGGCACUCGUAUUCCGCAGAGAGAGGUGAAAUUCUCAGACCCGCGGAAGACGAACCACUGCGAAAGCAUUUG